rnacentral:lncRNA from 1 species
GCGGGUUCCGCGUCUGCGCGGCGUGCAACGAGAACGGCCUCGUCCGCUGCGCCGCCUGCUGCUCCGGCGGCUGACGUGUCGUCGUCGUCGACAUGCAUGCAUGCACCUCGUCGGAGACGGCGUACAACGCGCAUACAUAGAGAAAAGAAAUGGAAACGCUAGCGGCUGGAAUGGAUUGAUUGUCCCAAAUGCAAAUGUGCUUAAUUCAUCCGAUUCAAUUCUGACAAAGUUGUUCAUCCCAACAGUGUGAUUUUUGUACGCGCGACGUACGUUCGUAUUUGAGUGUUUUUUUUUGGCGUAACUUCGUAUUUUAAAUUAAGCUUAAUUAAUUAGAUGGUUAAUGAAUAGAUCAUCAAUCAAAACCAAGCUCGAUCAAUAUGCUUACUUGUCUUUUUAUUUUUCUUUUUGCUUCUCUUUUAUUAGAAAACUGCAGACGGCUUCACUGCCAUUUCCAUGAUUAUCCUCUGUGGAUGCCCUCUCUUGUUCUCUAUUUGAUGGAUGGUCCAUAGUAACUUGGGUGUACCGUAAAAAGAUCCAGAAAAACAAAGUUACAUGGCUCCUUUUAUAUAUAAAGAGUUAGGCCCGAUUAGUUCCCAA